UACAGAGACUGCAAGCGUUAUUCGGAUUCACUGGGCGUAAAGGGUGCGUAGGCGGGUAUACAAGUCACAUGUGAAAUUCCGAGGCUCAACCUCGGAGCUGCAUGUGAAACUGUAUAUCUAGUGGAAUGGCGGAGAAAAUGGAAUUCCAUGUGUAGCGGUGAAAUGCGUAGAUAUAUGGAAGAACACCUGUGGCGAAAGCGGUUUUCUAGCCUACUCCAGACGCUGAGGCACGAAAGCAAGGGGAUCAAAACAGGAGUUAGAAACCCGAAG
rnacentral:rRNA from 1 species